UACGGGGGGAGCAAGCGUUGUUCGGAUUUACUGGGCGUAAAGGGCGCGUAGGCGGCGCGACAAGUCACUUCUGAAAUCUCUGGGCUCAACCCAGAACGGUCAAGUGAUACUGUCGUGCUAGAGUGCGGAAGGGGCAACUGGAAUUCUUGGUGUAGCGGUGAAAUGCGUAGAUAUCAAGAGGAACACCUGCGGCGAAGGCGGGUUGCUGGGCCGACACUGACGCUGAGGCGCGAAAGCUAGGGGAGCGAACGGG
rnacentral:rRNA from 1 species